rnacentral:rRNA from 1 species
UAGUGAACCAGUACCGUGAGGGAAAGGUGAAAAGAACCCCGAACAGGGGAGUGAAAUAGAACCUGAAACCGUAUACUUACAAGCGGUCGGAGCGUCCAGGUGGCGUGACGGCGUGCCUUUUGCAUAAUGAGCCUACGAGUUACUCUUCUCUGGCAAGGUUAAGUGUUUAAGACACGCAGCCGAAGCGAAAGCGAGUCUGAAUAGGGCGUAUAGUCAGGGGAGGUAGACGCGAAACCUUGUGAUCUACCCAUGGACAGGUUGAAGGUGCGGUAACACGUACUGGAGGACCGAACCGAUAAACGUUGAAAAGUUUCCGGAUGAUCUGUGGGUAGGGGUGAAAGGCUAAUCAAACUGGGAAAUAGCUCGUACUCCCCGAAAUGUUUUUAGGAACAGCGUCGUGGUGAGUUAUAUAGAGGUAGAGCUACUGAUUGGGUGCGGGGGAGUCAAAUCCUACCAAAUCCAGACAAACUCCGAAUGCUAUAUAAUAUACACGGCAGUGAGGCGCGGGGUGCUAAGGUCACGCGCCGAGAGGGAAAGAACCCAGACCAUCAGCUAAGGUCCCUAAAUUACCGCUAAGUUGAACUAACGAGGUGCGAUUGCAUAGACAGCUAGGAUGUUGGCUUGGAAGCAGCCAUUCAUUUAAAGAGUGCGUAACAGCUCACUAGUCGAGCGAUCGUGCAUGGAUAAUAAACGGGCAUUAAGUGGUAUACCGAAGCUAUGGGUAAUAUUAAUAUUACGGUAGGGGAGCAUUCCAGCGGCAGCGAAGUUGUAGCGUGAGCUAUGGUGGAGCUUCUGGAAAAGCAAAUGUAGGCAUAAGUAACGAUAAGGCGGGAGAGAAACCCGCCCACCGAAAGGAUAAGGUUUCCUGAUCAACGCUAAUCGGAUCAGGGUUAGUCGGGGCCUAAGGAGAACCCGAAGGGGAUAUUCGAUGGACAACGGUUUAAUAUUACCGUACUUUUUAUAACUGCGAUGUGGGGACGGAGUAGUGACACUGCCGCGAUCUGACGGAAUAGAUCGUUGAAGGCUGUAGGUAUAGGACUGGUAGGCAAAUCCGCCAGACCUGCUGAACGCUGAUAGUACCGCGAGCCUUCGGGUAAGUGGAUAGUGCAGGUAAUCAGACUUCCAAGAAAAACCGCUAAGCUCCAGGUUAUAAAAACCCGUACCGCAAACCGACACAGGUAUCCGGGAAGAGAAUUCUAAGGUGCUCGAGUGAAUCAUGGCUAAGGAACUCGGCAAAAUGGCCCUGUAACUUCGGGAGAAGGGGCGCUGACAGCAAUGUCAGCCGCAGUGAAAAGGCCCAGGCGACUGUUUAACAAAAACACAUGGCUUUGCAAAAUCGAAAGAUGAAGUAUAAGGCCUGACACCUGCCCGGUGCUGGAAGGUUAAGAGGGGAUGUUAGUCGCAAGGCGAAGCAUUGAAUCGAAGCCCCAGUAAACGGCGGCCGUAACUAUAACGGUCCUAAGGUAGCGAAAUUCCUUGUCGGGUAAGUUC